rnacentral:misc_RNA from 1 species
AAGUCGUAACAGGGUUUCCGUAUGGUGAACCUGCGGAAGGAUCAUUAAUGAUUGCGAAUGGUUCACCUUUGGUGCUUGGACUCUUUGCAAGUGCACGUUGGUGGCUUUCAUCCCAAUACCCUUGUGAACCUUUGGCCUCUUGCUAGCUUCGGCUGGCAGAGGAUUUUUACAACACUCGAAUGUAAUGAAAACUAUUGUCGUGCGCAAGCACUAAUGUACAA